rnacentral:tRNA from 1 species
GGCCAAGUGGUUGAGACACCAGGCUAGUAGCCUGGGGUCGUAGGUUCGAACCCGG